rnacentral:rRNA from 1 species
UACGGGGGGGCAAGCGUUGUUCGGAAUUACUGGGCGUAAAGGGCUCGUAGGCGGCCAACUAAGUCGGACGUGAAAUCCCCAGGCUCAACCUGGGAACUGCGUCUGAUACUGGAUGGCUUGAGUUCGGGAGAGGGAUGCGGAAUUCCAGGUGUAGCGGUGAAAUGCGUAGAUAUCUGGAGGAACACCAGUAGCGAAGGCGGCACUCUGGGCCGUGACUGACGCUGAGGAGCGAAAGCGUGGGUAGCAAACAGG